CAUUAAAGGAAAAUUCCGUUAUUUUUUUUUAUUUUUACAACCUUGGUUUUAUUUUCAGUUUGCGCCAUUGUGCAUAUCCGUUAUGAUAUCCUCUCACUCAUCGGCUUAAUUUUUGCCGAUUUUGGACCACCGCUGGGCACAGCUUUGCAAUGGUGUCUCACGGGGCGAUCGAACACAAGUCUUAAAACUGUUCUUUCAACAACUACAACAACAGCAAAGACUCGGUGCCUCGGUUAGACUGCGUACAUGAUGUCCCAUGACUUCUCCAUUGUGCUGGCUGGGUGGUUUGUGGAUGAUUACUACUCCCCACGAUAAGUGGAUUAAAUUGAACUCGAUGAAAAAUGUGCGACGCUGGUGUUCCCUUGCCACAUAAGAGGCCGUCGUAAAGCCGCAUCCAGCAGCGGUCCUGUCGCCAAAAUCUCUACAACGAAGCUGAUGAGGAAAAUGAUAUCAUACCUGCAAGACACCACUGCAAAAAUACUACCAAGACCCAGGUUGUCCUUUACACGCCGGUGGAGUCCGGACUGAGGCUUAUCCACCUCACCCAGAAAUUCUCCAGCGCUCCUUCAGACUAAUCCAUCCCAAUUGGCCUGGCUCGCUCUCCUGCUUUGGGAGCGAAUAGAGCUUGAUAUAUUACAGACACUAUCAACAUGGAAGCUGCUCUAUUUUUCAGGUUUCGAGCCACUUUACUUCAAGAAUGACCGAGAUAUGAUGACAUGUGUGGGAAGAUGGCGGCACGAAGUUACGUUUGUGGUGGCCUCACCCAGUACGGUCCAUGCAGUGUCUUUGUCCACGUCUAAGUUUUUGUCUUCGUUGGAUGGCUGGGAGAGCUGGCGCUGGAUCGGCCGGGGGAGCCUGAUCCGCUGUCUUGUGGGCCCAGGGACCACGGCCCUGCCUGGAGCUGCGCCCGAAGAGGAAACACCGAGGGCGGUCUGACAGGAUGCGGAAGCAAAGCGGGCUAAGCUAGCAGCUAGCCCAUGCAGACCGGCAGUUCCGAUAACACCGAGGGCGGUCUGGCGGCGGCCUUGCCUAGCGUUGACUGUGUUUUUGGUGUCACCGUUUAGAGUGCUGGUAGGUGUGUCAAAGGUGUCUGGCUGGGCGAGCUGGCGUUGAGCUGGGAGAGCCUGGUCUGCUGCAUCCGGUGGGCCCAGGGACCACGGCCGUGCCUGGAGCUGCGCCCGAAGAGGAUACACCUUGGGGGGUCUGACAGGACGCGGAAGUGGGGCAGGCGAAGCUAGCUGCUAGCCCAUGCAGACCGGCAGUUCCAACAGUAUUCCUGGUGUUCGCUUUCUCGGGCAGCGGAAUUAUUCAUUCAUUUAUUUUGGGGGGGGGGCUAUGUUUGACAUAUGUGUUUUGUUUGUUUUUUUGUAGUUUGGAUGUAGUAUGUGUUCUUGUAGUCUGGAUACGUGUGUUUGUCUUUGUGUUGCACUGCCGUGGGCUGGAGGGGAAACGAUGUGAAAUGACAAAUAAAUCAGAUUCCUGACUCCUGAAUUCACUUGGCCCGCGCUGUAUUCCAUUCCGUUAUUGACUGUAUUUAGAUCUGC